rnacentral:rRNA from 1 species
CAACGAUGUGGGGUUGCAAAAACAACCAGGAUGUUGGCUUAGAGGCAGCCACUCAUUAAAAGAGUGCGUAAUAGCUCACUGGUCGAGUGACCCUGCGCGGAAAAUAUAACGGGGCUAAGCGUCCAACCGAAGCUUGGGAUGUCUAAGGACAUGGUAGGGGAGCGUCGUGUAUAGGGAGAAGCAUGAGCGAGAGCACAUGUGGACAGUACACGAGUGAGAAUGCCGGAAUGAGUAGCGAGAAUUAUGUGGGAAUCAUAAUGGCCGAAAAUCUAAGGUUUCUUGGGGAAGGUUCGUCCGCCCAAGGUAAGCCGGGAGCUAAGGCGAGGCCGAAAGGCGUAGUCGAUGCACAUACGGUUGAAAUUCCGUAGCCGCCGAAAUUGUUAAGCACAGGGACACAUAGAGAUAUCCGAACCCGGGCGUUGGUUGACCCGGGCGCAAGGGACCGAACAUCAGUAGGGAAGUCGGAGAUGCUCUGUGGCGAGAAAAGCUGUGUGUAUUGAUUAGGCGCCCGUACCGCAAACCGACACAGGUAGAUGAGGAGAGAAUCCUAAGGCCAACGGGAGAAGGGUUGUUAAGGAACUCGGCAAAUUGACCCCGUAACUUCGGGAUAAGGGGAGCCUCCUACGGGAGGCCGCAGUGAAUAGGCCCAAGCAACUGUUUACCAAAAACACAGGUCUCUGCUAAAUCGAAAGAUGACGUAUAGGGGCUGACGCCUGCCCGGUGCCGGAAGGUUAAGAGGAGAGCUUAGCGCAAGCGAAGGUUCGAACUGAAGCCCCGGUAAACGGCGGCCGUAACAAUAACGGUCCUAAGGUAGCGAAAUUCCUUGUCAGGUAAGUUCUGACCCGCACGAAUGGCGUAAUGAUUUGGGCACUGUCUCAACAGCCCGCCCGGCGAAAUUGUAGUACUGGUGAAGAUGCCAGUUACCCGCAACUAGACGGAAAGACCCCAUGGAGCUUUACUGUAGCCUAAUACUGAAGAUCGGUAAUGCAUGUACAGGAUAGGUGGGAGCCAGCGAAACCCGGGCGUCAGCUCGGAUGGAGGCAACCUUGGAAUACCACCCUUGUAUUGCUGGUUUUCUAACCUGCGGCCAUGAAUCUGGUCGGGGGACACUGUUAGGUGGGCAGUUUGACUGGGGCGGUCGCCUCCAAAAGCGUAACGGAGGCGCUCAAAGGUUGGCUCAGCACGGACGGAAAUCGUGCAUAGAGUGCAAACGCAUAAGCCAACUUGACUGCGAGACCGACGGGUCGAGCAGGUACGAAAGUAGGAGUUAGUGAUCCGGUGGUAUGUGAGUGGAAAUGCCAUCGCUCAACGGAUAAAAGCUACCCUGGGGAUAACAGGCUGAUCUCCCCCAAGCGUCCACAGCGACGGGGAGGUUUGGCACCUCGAUGUCGGCUCGUCACAUCCUGGGGCUGUAUUCGGUCCCAAGGGUUCGGCUGUUCGCCGAUUAAAGUGGCACGCGAGCUGGGUUCAGAACGUCGUGAGACAGUUCGGUCCCUAUCUGUUGCGGGCGCAGGAGAUUUGAAGGGAGCUGUCCUUAGUACGAGAGGACCGGGAUGGACAGACCUCUGGUGCACCAGUUGUCGUGCCAACGGCACAGCUGGGUAGCUACGUCUGGACGAGAUAAACGCUGAAAGCAUCUAAGUGUGAAACUCCCCCUAAGAUAAGAUCUCCCAUCCAUUAGGAGCAAGGGACGACAGAGACUAUGUCGUUGAUAGGUCGGAAGUGUAAGUGCAGUAAUGCAUUGAGCUGACCGAUACUAAUAACCCGAGGGCUUGACU